UACCGAGUUAUUCAACUCAUCAACCCUGUGAACAUACCUAAACGUUGCUUCGGCGGGAAUAGACGGCCCCGUAAGACGGGCCGCCCCCGCCAGAGGACCCUUAACUCUGUUUCUAUAAUGUUUCUUCUGAGUAAAACAAGCAAAUAAAUUAAAACUUUCAACAACGGAUCUCUUGGCUCUGGCAUCGAUGAAGAACGCAGCGAAAUGCGAUAAGUAAUGUGAAUUGCAGAAUUCAGUGAAUCAUCGAAUCUUUGAACGCACAUUGCGCCCGCCAGUAUUCUGGCGGGCAUGCCUGUUCGAGCGUCAUUACAACCCUCAGGCCCCCGGGCCUGGCGUUGGGGAUCGGCGGAGCCCCCCGUGGGCACGCGCCGUCCCCCAAAUACAGUGGCGGUCCCGCCGCAGCUUCCAUCGCGUAGUAGCUAACACCUCGCGACUGGAGAGCGGCGCGGCCACGCCGUAAAACACCCAACUCUUCUGAAGUUGACCUCGAAUCAGGUAGGAAUACCCGCUGAACUUAAGCAUAUCAAUAAG
rnacentral:rRNA from 1 species